rnacentral:rRNA from 1 species
UACGUAGGGUGCAAGCGUUAAUCGGAAUUACUGGGCGUAAAGCGUGCGCAGGCGGUUUUAUAAGACAGAUGUGAAAUCCCCGGGCUCAACCUGGGAACUGCAUUUGUGACUGUAGAGCUGGAGUACGGUAGAGGGGGAUGGAAUUCCGCGUGUAGCAGUGAAAUGCGUAGAUAUGCGGAGGAACACCGAUGGCGAAGGCAAUCCCCUGGACCUGUACUGACGCUCAUGCACGAAAGCGUGGGGAGCAAACAGG